GGAAUCUUCCACAAUGGGCGAAAGCCUGAUGGAGCAACGCCGCGUGUGUGAUGAAGGGUUUCGGCUCGUAAAACACAGUUGUAAGAGAAGAAUGACAUUGAGAGUAACUGUUCAAUGUGUGACGGUAUCUUACCAGAAAGGAACGGCUAAAUACGUGCCAG
rnacentral:rRNA from 1 species